UUUGGUUCUUCAGGUGAGAACAAGAAAGUUACGUUCUGUUUCAAUUUUGUCUUAGUUACUGUUAUUUAUCUCAUUGAGUUAAGGAUACUUUUUCUUCAACUCUUGGGCAUUUAUGUUUGCUACUACACGUGCAUUUUUAGUUCCACUACACAUGCUUUACAUGAACCAUCACUUUUUUCAAAGAUACUGAUAAAAAAUACAGUCUGAUUAAAUAAAUAAUUACGUAAAGAUUUUCAUUUAAAAGUGAUGUCAAAAGGCAAUGGUUUACUUUUAAGUCCUAAUUAAAUGAAUAAUUGAAUAUUCUUUUUCCUCAUUUUCCCUUAUUCAUAAUAUGACUUGCAGCGUGCUUGAUGUGAUAUCAAGACAUGCUAAGAACUGAAAGUUGUGUUAUUUAUUCUCAACCUCUGUUGUUGCAUUUGGUAGUUUUCAGUAUUUGCUAUAAGAAUUCAAAUUGUUCAUUCAGGCUCCGAUUUUUUUUUCUUUGAUAUGAGUUAUGACUCUGAAUAAGGGACAAGGCAAAUCAUAACGGCUCAAUACUUUUUUAAGUUUAGUUUUCCAAAAUUGAUUCCAGUUUUAAAUCCACAAGUCAUUUUCCUUAAAUGUUUUCAUUGAAAACAAACGGAGACCAAUUUAGUGGCAUUUGUACAACCUCAUUUUGGAUCUUUGUCAACUCACCGAUUUUUACAAGUACAUGUGCUAUAUACUUUUAAGUACUAUUGUGUUUCAAUUAGUUUAGGUAACUAGUAUCUUUCUUAGCUACUUAUUACCAUGUGUUUGUUUGUCAAGAAAAAUUGUUUUUGCAGGUCAUGCGGAAUGCAAUCCAUGUUGUAUCAGCUAUUGACAGUAACAAUCCACAGGAACAGUAACCACAGCAGCAUCACAACAAUACCACAACUGCAGGACAGCAGUUGCAGUGCAUCACAGCUACAGCAACAUCAGCAGCACCGGCAGUUCAACACAAAGCUCGUGCAGUGUUUCAAACACACAUAACUAACUGGAAAGCAUGCUGGGGUUAGGACUGCCAUGUGUUCAAUAGGUCAGUUAGUCAAUUAGAACUAUCCACAUCUGUCUUCUGAGAGGCUUUUGGUUGAGCAAACAGUGCCGAAUACAGAGAUAAUUGAUACUUUUAUCAGAAAUGCUACAAAUAGUGCAAAUCCACUCUCAAUUAAAAAGUAUUUACAUAUCUUAAAAAAAAAAA
rnacentral:lncRNA from 1 species